rnacentral:rRNA from 1 species
UAGGGAAUCUUCCGCAAUGGGCGAAAGCUUGACGGAGCAACGCCGCGUGAGUGAUGAAGGUCUUCGGAUCGUAAAACUCUGUUAUUAGGGAAGAACAAAUGUGUAAGUAACUAUGCACGUCUGGACGGUACCUAAUCAGAAAGCCACGGCUAACUACGUGCCAGCAGCCGCGGUAAUACGUAGGUCCCGAGCGUUGUCCGGAUUUAUUGGGCGUAAAGCGAGCGCAGGCGGUUAGAAAAGUCUGAAGUGAAAGGCAGUGGCUCAACCAUUGUAGGCUUUGGAAACUGUUUAACUUGAGUGCAGAAGGGGAGCGUGGAAUUCCAUGUGUGGCGGUGAAAUGCGUAGAUAUAUGGAAGAACACCAGUGGCGAAGGCGACUCUCUGGUCUGUAACUGACGCAGAGGCUCGAACGCGUGGGUAGCAAACAGG